rnacentral:rRNA from 1 species
AGAACUUUCCAGAGAUGGAUUGGUGCCUUCGGGAACUCUGAGACAGGUGCUGCAUGGCUGUCGUCAGCUCGUGUUGUGAAAUGUUGGGUUAAGUCCCGCAACGAGCGCAACCCUUAUCCUUUGUUGCCAGCGGUCCGGCUGGGAACUCAAAGGAGACUGCCAGUGAUAAACUGGAGGAAGGUGGGGAUGACGUCAAGUCAUCAUGGCCCUUACGAGUAGGGCUACACACGUGCUACAAUGGCGCAUACAAAGAGAAGCGACCUCGCGAGAGCAAGCGGACCUCAUAAAGUGCGUCGUAGUCCGGAUUGGAGUCUGCAACUCGACUCCAUGAAGUCGGAAUCGCUAGUAAUCGUGGAUCAGAAUGCCACGGUGAAUACGUUCCCGGGCCUUGUACACACCGCCCGUCACACCAUGGGAGUGGGUUGCAAAAGAAGUAGGUAGCUUAACCUUCGGGAGGGCGCUUACCACUUUGUGAUUCAUGACUGGGGUGAAGUCGUAACAAGGUAGGCGUAGUGCU